rnacentral:lncRNA from 1 species
GGCUAGUUUAGGGCUGAUAUAUUCGUUUGUUCGUUCAGUUGUUCGUUUGUUUGGUUGUUCGUUUGUUCGGUUGUGGUUGUUGUUGUUGUUUUUUUUUUUUAAUGAAUAUUACACAAUAUACUUUUCUACAUCUAAAUAGUUGUUGUGUACAUUAUGUUUUUCACUGAAAAGUACCAUUGAUGUGUAUGUCCCAGAAUUUGCUGAGUAUCACCAGAAUGCCAUGUGAUAACGUUACAGGAAGGCAUGUGAUAAAUUUUGAAGCAUGUGAUAAAUAUUUCAUAUCAGCUCGAUAAGCACCAAUUAGAAAAAUAUGGAAUUUACGUUAGCUUUAUGCUAUUAUCAUACGGUAAAAAUCAUAUGUUAUUUAGUC